rnacentral:rRNA from 1 species
UACGAGGGGGGGCAAGCGUUGUUCGGAAUUAUUGGGCGUAAAGGGUGCGUAGGCGGUUUGGUAAGUCUUAUGUGAAAUCUACAGGCUCAACUUGUAGUCUGCAUGAGAAACUGCCGGGCUUGAGUAUGGGAGAGGUGAGUGGAAUUCCUGGUGUAGCGGUGAAAUGCGUAGAUAUCAGGAGGAACACCUGUGGCGAAAGCGGCUCACUGGACCAUAACUGACGCUGAUGCACGAAAGCGUGGGGAGCAAACAGG